UAGGGGCUCGGCGUCGCGCCGGAUCGUACCCAUAUCCGCAGCAGGUCUCCAAGGUGAAGAGCCUCUAGUCGAUAGAAUAAUGUAGGUAAGGGAAGUCGGCAACUCGGAUCCGUACCUUCGGAAGAAGGGUUGGCUCUGAGGACCGGGGCGUGUCGGGCUUGGCGGGGAAGCGGGUCCGCGCCGCAGCGCCGGGCCAAGGGGGCCAAGGGUUUUUAUAGAACUAGGUUCUGGUUACUCCCUUGUAAAACAAACUUAAACAACUGUCCCUAUCUACUAUCUAGCGAAACCACAGCCAAGGGAACGGGCUUGGAAAAAUCAGCGGGGAAAGAAGACCCUGUUGAGCUUGACUCUAGUCUGG
rnacentral:rRNA from 1 species